rnacentral:misc_RNA from 1 species
CUGCUAACUUUGUUAAGUUCUUUUAGCAAGUCAAUUUCUUUACAUGUCAAUCCCAUAAGAAUAGCAGCAAGCCAACUUUUUAGCCCUCGAGAGUUUUGAUGGCCAAAAAGGAAUCUUAGAUCAGAAAACUCAUCUGCCCCUAUGCAAUAUGUUUAUCCCAACUUAAAGCCUGCUCAUGGCCUUAAUAAUUCUGUAACAUGGAAACUAAUUGCAAAGGUGGAGGAGAAAUUAAGUUCCUCAAAGCUAAGG